rnacentral:rRNA from 1 species
GACGAACGCUGGCGGCGUGCUUAACACAUGCAAGUCGAACGGAAAGGCCCCUUUGUUGCUACUCGAGCGGUGACCGGGGGCGUAACACGUGAGUAACCUUCCCUUGCCUUUGGGACAACUUUAGGAAACUGGGGCUAAUACCGGAUAGGGAUCCUUGCUUCAUGGUGGGGGUUGGAAAGCUUCGGCGGGUUUUGAUGGACUUGCGGGCUAUCAGCUUGUUGGUGGGGCAGUGGCUUACCAAGGCUGUGACGGGUAGCCGGCCUGAGGGGGCGACCGGCCAGAUUAGGACUGUGCUACAGGCCAGAGUCCUGCGGGAGGCAGCAGGGGGGAAAGUUGCACGAUGGGCGGCAGGCUGAUGCAGAAAGGCCUCGUGCGGGAUGACGGCCUUCGGGUUGUAAAACGCAUUCAGCAGGGGCGAAGCUUGUCGUGACGGUACCUGCAGAAGAAGCACCGGCUAACUACGUG